rnacentral:rRNA from 1 species
AUUGAACGCUGGCGGCAGGCCUAACACAUGCAAGUCGAACGAGGGGCGGACGGGUGAGUAAUGUCUGGGAAACUGCCCGAUGGAGGGGGAUAACUACUGGAAACGGUAGCUAAUACCGCAUACCAUCGGAUGUGCACAGAUGGGAUUAGCUAGUAGGUGGGGUAAUGGCUCACAUAGGCGACGAUCCCUAGCUGGUCGGAGGGGAUGACGAGCCACACUGGACCUGAGACACGGCCCAGACGCCUACGGGAGGAAGCAGGGGGGAAUAUUGCACAAUGGGCGCAAGCCGGAUGCAGCCAUGCCGCGUGUAGGAAGAAGGCCUUCGGGUUGUAAAGUCCUUUCAGCGAGGAGGCGUUACUCGCAGAAGAAGCACCGGCUAACUCCGUGCCAGCAGCCGCGGUAAUUC